GAUUGAACGCUGGCGGCAGGCCUAACACAUGCAAGUCGAGCGGUAGCACAGAGAGCUUGCUCUCGGGUGACGAGCGGCGGACGGGUGAGUAAUGUCUGGGAAACUGCCUGAUGGAGGGGGAUAACUACUGGAAACGGUAGCUAAUACCGCAUAAUGUCGCAAGACCAAAGUGGGGGACCUUCGGGCCUCAUGCCAUCAGAUGUGCCCAGAUGGGAUUAGCUAGUAGGUGGGGUAACGGCUCACCUAGGCGACGAUCCCUAGCUGGUCUGAGAGGAUGACCAGCCACACUGGAACUGAGACACGGUCCAGACUCCUACGGGAGGCAGCAGUGGGGAAUAUUGCACAAUGGGCGCAAGCCUGAUGCAGCCAUGCCGCGUGUGUGAAGAAGGCCUUCGGGUUGUAAAGCACUUUCAGCGGGGAGGAAGGCGGUGAGGUUAAUAACCUCAUCGAUUGACGUUACCCGCAGAAGAAGCACCGGCUAACUCCGUGCCAGCAGCCGCGGUAAUACGGAGGGUGCAAGCGUUAAUCGGAAUUACUGGGCGUAAAGCGCACGCAGGCGGUCUGUCAAGUCGGAUGUGAAAUCCCCGGGCUCAACCUGGGAACUGCAUUCGAAACUGGCAGGCUAGAGUCUUGUAGAGGGGGGUAGAAUUCCAGGUGUAGCGGUGAAAUGCGUAGAGAUCUGGAGGAAUACCGGUGGCGAAGGCGGCCCCCUGGACAAAGACUGACGCUCAGGUGCGAAAGCGUGGGGAGCAAACAGGAUUAGAUACCCUGGUAGUCCACGCCGUAAACGAUGUCGAUUUGGAGGUUGUGCCCUUGAGGCGUGGCUUCCGGAGCUAACGCGUUAAAUCGACCGCCUGGGGAGUACGGCCGCAAGGUUAAAACUCAAAUGAAUUGACGGGGGCCCGCACAAGCGGUGGAGCAUGUGGUUUAAUUCGAUGCAACGCGAAGAACCUUACCUGGUCUUGACAUCCACAGAACUUUCCAGAGAUGGAUUGGUGCCUUCGGGAACUGUGAGACAGGUGCUGCAUGGCUGUCGUCAGCUCGUGUUGUGAAAUGUUGGGUUAAGUCCCGCAACGAGCGCAACCCUUAUCCUUUGUUGCCAGCGGUCCGGCCGGGAACUCAAAGGAGACUGCCAGUGAUAAACUGGAGGAAGGUGGGGAUGACGUCAAGUCAUCAUGGCCCUUACGACCAGGGCUACACACGUGCUACAAUGGCAUAUACAAAGAGAAGCGACCUCGCGAGAGCAAGCGGACCUCAUAAAGUAUGUCGUAGUCCGGAUUGGAGUCUGCAACUCGACUCCAUGAAGUCGGAAUCGCUAGUAAUCGUAGAUCAGAAUGCUACGGUGAAUACGUUCCCGGGCCUUGUACACACCGCCCGUCACACCAUGGGAGUGGGUUGCAAAAGAAGUAGGUAGCUUAACCUUCGGGAGGGCGCUUACCACUUUGUGAUUCAUGANUGGGGUGAAGUCGUAACAAGG
rnacentral:rRNA from 1 species